CAAAAACCAAAGUGAUUUAACUCUUAAAUGGCAGUGAGACUGCAGGGCAUGAUAUAUGUAGGCCCCCUGGACUCUGCCUCCCCCACUCCCUGGAAUGCAAUCACUCCCCCCACACCAACCUCCCUCUCCCCCCUCAAAAAAAAAAAACCCACAUUCAAAUACACAGAAUGACACUCAUACACAUACAAACACGGACACACACAGAUUUACAGUGGUGUUAUGGAUAGAAAUUAAUGUAGGUAAAAUGUCUAUUUACUUUGUAUAUCUGUAUUCAGUAUUUACUCAAAAUGGCUGCUAGAGCACCC